CGCCCGUGUGUCCUUUCAAAAAGUUAGCACGCGUUGGUGACCAUAAAAAGUUAGGUUAUGUUAGCAACGGCUGCAAUGCUGCAAUUAAAGAAUGCACGAAUGCGAAAUUUAACAAAUUUUUGUGGCAAAAGGAAGCAUUUGCAUAACAUUUGAAGAUGAGGAACGUGAUCAAAAGAUGCUGUAGAAGAGCUUUGCACAAACAGUUUGUGCGAAAUCGAGAAGCGCGUGUUCUGCGCGAUGUUACGGAGUUAGAUAAGCGCAAAUGUAGUUCAUUUUCAAACUGUUUUUCAGAAGUUGAAGGCGCAUUGAUGACCAGUGGGACCAAGGGCCUUUGGUGGUUAAAUAUGCCUUUAUAUACAUGGACACCAGAUGCAUGUGCUUAGAAAGAUGAUUUUUGAUUAAGAACUCAGAGCAAGAGUAUCUUUAAUGGUGUAUACAAAUUUGACAAACAACGCAUUUUAAUGUCUGAUAACUACAUUUCCUAUCCAUCAGUUCUACUUCAUGAAAGUUAGUUUUGGUUUGUGAGUGCAUUAAAUGUUUUACAGCAGAUUCUUUAGCUACAUUAUCAAAACUUGUCUGGGUGGCAAGUUUAUGGGACUUACUGACCAAAAGGUCAUGGUGAAUAGCUCCCUCUAUUGGUUUACCACCAAAAUAUUUGUAUUUCAAAGAUCUGUGCAAAGAUUUGGCGUGCAUGUUGGUGUUAAUGCCUGCGUUCUUUUGAUAACACUGGGCCCAUGACUUCAUGCGCUCUUUAUUUUGAAAGUAGCAUUCCAAUAUGUAGCUGUAACUAUCAUCUGUCAUGAAAUAAUUGGGUACCAAAACCGAUAUUAAUGAUUUUAUUUCACCAACCAGAACCUCUUAUAUGUUGGUGUCCUUUCAGUUGGACAGAAUAAAUGUUACUGGAUAAUCAAUAUUUUUAUCAUCUAACACAUGGACUUGUGGUCAAUUCAAUGUCAUAGAGGUUUGUCCCAUGUGUGCCAUCUACACAAAUGAUUUUGGCGCCAUAUUUUUUUAACAUAUACUCCAGCCCACUGUACAUGGAAGCUAAUGCAGUCAUUUUUGUGCAAUUUUUCAUGUUCUGAUGCACAACAAGAUUUUCCUUACUUC